UACGUAGGGGGCAAGCGUUGUCCGGAAUCAUUGGGCGUAAAGCGCACGUAGGCGGCUUUGCAAGUCAGGUGUGAAAUCCCCGGGCUUAACCUGGGAACUGCAUUUGAGACUGCAUUGCUAGAGUAUGGGAGAGGGAAGUGGAAUUUCAGGUGUAGCGGUGAAAUGCGUAGAUAUCUGAAGGAACAUCAGUGGCGAAAGCGACUUCCUGGACCAAUACUGACGCUCAUGUGCGAAAGCGUGGGGAGCAAACAGG
rnacentral:rRNA from 1 species